rnacentral:rRNA from 1 species
CGUGUAGGCGGCCCCGCGUGUCCUCUGUGAAAGCCCUCGGCUCAACCGAGGAACUGCAGGGGAAACUGCGGGGCUCGAGUCCGGGAGAGGAGAGCGGAAUUCCCAGUGUAGCGGUGAAAUGCGUAGAUAUUGGGAGGAACACCAGUGGCGAAGGCGGCUCUCUGGACCGGUACUGACGCUAAAGCGCGAAAGCUAGGGGAGCAAACGGGAUUAGAUACCCCGGUAGUCCUAGCUGUAAACGAUGAGCACUUGGUGUGGCGGGUAUCGACCCCUGCCGUGCCGAAGCUAACGCAUUAAGUGCUCCGCCUGGGGAGUACGGCCGCAAGGCUGAA